AAUCAACGCUGGCGGCGUGCCUAACACAUGCAAGUCGAACGAGAAAGUGGGAGCAAUCCCAUGAGUAAAGUGGCGCACGGGUGAGUAACACGUGACUAACCUACCCUUGAGUGGGGGAUAACUGAGGGAAACCUUAGCUAAUACCGCAUAAUACCCACGGGUCAAAGGAGCAAUUCGCUCGAGGAGGGGGUCGCGGCCGAUUAGUUAGUUGGCAGGGUAAUGGCCUACCAAGACGAUGAUCGGUAUCCGGCCUGAGAGGGCGCACGGACACACUGGAACUGAAACACGGUCCAGACUCCUACGGGAGGCAGCAGUGGGGAAUUUUGCGCAAUGGGGGAAACCCUGACGCAGCAACGCCGCGUGGAGGAUGAAGUCCUU
rnacentral:rRNA from 1 species